rnacentral:lncRNA from 1 species
CAUGCGCCUCCACAUACCACCAUACAUCUCCUCAUAUGUUGCCACCGGUACCCUCACGCGUUGUCCCUGCACCAUUAGACAUUGCCUUGAAUUGACUAAAAAUCACCACAAAACUACGCGCACGCUCAGAUCUAACAUGGAUAUCAUGAAAUGACAUCAAAAAAUGUCUGCAAAUUCUUAAAAUUGUACAAUCUGACCGUUAGUGGGUCGUUUUCUCCAAACAUUCUCCCAUGCAUUCUCUCUCCCUGGCCUUUCUAGUUUUAAAUCACACAAAUCCACUAACCCUGCCACUUUUUCUCCUCUAAGUGUUGCAUAUAUCUAGUUGGCUAAGCCAUUUAUCUUCUCUGAUGUCGGACCUACCCUUCCUACUUUAUGUGUCUUUAGAUCUAGUCGCACACGAAGCUUGACUCACAUUUCAGGUC